UACGAAGGGGGGCUAGCGUUGUUCGGAAUUACUGGGCGUAAAGCGCACGUAGGCGGAUACUUAAGUCAGGGGUGAAAUCCCGGGGCUCAACCCCGGAACUGCCUUUGAUACUGGGUAUCUCGAGUCCGGAAGAGGUGAGUGGAAUUCCGAGUGUAGAGGUGAAAUUCGUAGAUAUUCGGAGGAACACCAGUGGCGAAGGCGGCUCACUGGUCCGGUACUGACGCUGAGGUGCGAAAGCGUGGGGAGCAAACAGGG
rnacentral:rRNA from 1 species